GAUGAACGCUGGCGGCGUGCCUAAUACAUGCAAGUCGAACGAGGUGCUUUUGUAGCAAUACGAGAGUAUCCUAGUGGCGAACGGGUGAGCAACGCGUUGGUGACCUACCCCAAAGUGUGGGAUAACAGUCCGAAAGGAUUGCUAAUACCGCAUGUGGUUAUCGGGUUUAGAAACUGAUAACUAAAGGAGCAAUUCGCUUUGGGAGGGACCUGCGUCCCAUCAGCUAGUUGGUGAGGUAACGGCUCAACAAGGCUACGACGGGUAGGGGACCUGAGAGGGUGACCCCCCACAAUGGAACUGAAACACGGUCCAUACACCUACGGGUGGCAGCAGUAGGGAAUAUUGCACAAUGGGCGAAAGCCUGAUGCAGCAACGCCGCGUGUGCGAUGAAGGCCUUCGGGUCGUAAAGCACUUUUCUGCGAGAUGAGAAAGGACAGUAUCGUAGGAAUAAGUCUCGGCUAACUACGUGCCAGCCGCCGCGGUAACAC
rnacentral:rRNA from 1 species